rnacentral:lncRNA from 1 species
AUUGAGGUUAGGGCGGCCCCAUCCGUCGGUCUCCGCCAGCUAGGAUCUCCCCCGCCGUCCGCCCCCGCCCCUCGUCUGCCUCCCCCGCCCGCGCCUCCGCCCGCGCUUCCCUUUCCUGCCUCGCGCCCCACUCCCUUUCCUCCCCUCCCUGUUUCCCUUCCUGUCCUUCCCAGCUCACGCUCUCUUUCCCUGCCGCCUGCCUUUCUUUUUUCCUUUUUUUGCAUUGGCGUCUUGGGGCUGUUACACACACGCGCGCUGUCCAUUGCAGCUUACAUAAAGGCGGGCGCGAUUAUGCAAUUAUAUUGUUAGCGAUAUUUCAAGAGCAAUGGCUCGUUUUCUUAGGAUUUCAACACGAAGGCAUCAUGCAUUUUUGAAAAACUAGUAUUGAGAAUAAUACCUUGCAACGUAAAGAAUGUUUUUUGGUAUUUUUACACAAUCUCUACUUUGACCAAACGAGUCUGGACAGUUUUCUUUUAAUGGAAAAUAGGAGAAAUGGAGGAAAGAAUGGAAAUGAUUUCUGAAAGGCCAAAAGAGAGUAUGUAUUCCUGGAACAAAACUGCAGAGAAAAGUGAUUUUGAAGCUGUAGAAGCACUUAUGUCAAUGAGCUGCAGUUGGAAGUCUGAUUUUAAGAAAUACGUUGAAAACAGACCUGUUACACCAGUAUCUGAUUUGUCAGAGGAAGAGAAUCUGCUUCCGGGAACACCUGAUUUUCAUACAAUCCCAGCAUUUCAGCAAAAGUCACUCCUCAGAUUGAUUCAUCAAGGAUAAGGAGUCACAUCUGUAGCCACCCAGGAUGUGGCAAGACAUACUUUAAAAGUUCCCAUCUGAAGGCCCACACGAGGACGCACACAGGAGAAAAGCCUUUCAGCUGUAGCUGGAAAGGUUGUGAAAGGAGGUUUGCCCGUUCUGAUGAACUGUCCAGACACAGGCGAACCCACACGGGUGAGAAGAAAUUUGCGUGCCCCAUGUGUGACCGGCGGUUCAUGAGGAGUGACCAUUUGACCAAGCAUGCCCGGCGCCAUCUAUCAGCCAAGAAGCUACCAAACUGGCAGAUGGAAGUGAGCAAGCUAAAUGACAUUGCUCUACCUCCAACCCCUGCUCCCACACAGUGACAGACCGGAAAGUGAAGAGUCAGAACUAACUUUGGUCUCAGCGGGAGCCAGUGGUGAUGUAAAAAUGCUUCCACUGCAAGUCUGUGGCCCCACAACGUGGGCUUAAAGCAGAAGCCCCACAGCCUGGCACGAAGGCCCCGCCUGGGUUAGGUGACUAAAAGGGCUUCGGCCACAGGCAGGUCACAGAAAGGCAGGUUUCAUUUCUUAUCACAUAAGAGAGAUGAGAAAGCUUUUAUUCCUUUGAAUAUUUUUUGAAGGUUUCAGAUGAGGUCAACACAGGUAGCACAGAUUUUGAAUCUGUGUGCAUAUUUGUUACUUUACUUUUGCUGUUUAUACUUGAGACCAACUUUUCAAUGUGAUUCUUCUAAAGCACUGGUUUCAAGAAUAUGGAGGCUGGAAGGAAAUAAACAUUACGGUACAGACAUGGAGAUGUAAAAUGAGUUUGUAUUAUUACAAAUAUUGUCAUCUUUUUCUAGAGUUAUCUUCUUUAUUAUUCCUAGUCUUUCCAGUCAACAUCGUGGAUGUAGUGAUUAAAUAUAUCUAGAACUAUCAUUUUUACACUAUUGUGAAUAUUUGGAAUUGAACGACUGUAUAUUGCUAAGAGGGCCCAAAGAAUUGGAAUCCUCCUUAAUUUAAUUGCUUUGAAGCAUAGCUACAAUUUGUUUUUGCAUUUUUGUUUUGAAAGUUUAACAAAUGACUGUAUCUAGGCAUUUCAUUAUGCUUUGAACUUUAGUUUGCCUGCAGUUUCUUGUGUAGAUUUGAAAAUUGUAUACCAAUGUGUUUUCUGUAGACUCUAAGAUACACUGCACUUUGUUUAGAAAAAAAACUGAAGAUGAAAUAUAUAUUGUAAAGAAGGGAUAUUAAGAAUCUUAGAUAACUUCUUGAAAAAGAUGGCUUAUGUCAUCAGUAAAGUACCUUUAUGUUAUGAGGAUAUAAUGUGUGCUUUAUUGAAUUAGAAAAUUAGUGACCAUUAUUCACAGGUGGACAAAUGUUGAUGUUGUCCUGUUAAUUUAUAGGCGUUUUUUGGGGAUGUGGAGGUAGUUGGGUAGAAAAAUUAUUAGAACAUUCACUUUUGUUAACAGUAUUUCUCUUUUAUUCUGUUAUAUAGUGGAUGAUAUACACAGUGGCAAAACAAAAGUACAUUGCUUAAAAUAUAUAGUGAAAAAUGUCACUAUAUCUUCCCAUUUAACAUUGUUUUUGUAUAUUGGGUGUAGAUUUCUGACAUCAAAACUUGGACCCUUGGAAAACAAAAGUUUUAAUUAAAAAAAAUCCUUGUGACUUACAAUUUGCACAAUAUUUCUUUUGUUGUACUUUAUAUCUUGUUUACAAUAAAGAAUUCCCUUUGGUAUAUGGAA